AUUGAACGCUAGCGGCAGGCUUAAUACAUGCAAGUCGAGGGGCAGCAUGAUUGUAGCAAUACAAUUGAUGGCGACCGGCAAACGGGUGCGGAACACGUACACAACCUUCCAAUAAGUGGGGAAUAGCCCAGAGAAAUUUGGAUUAAUACCCCGUAACAUAACGAUGUGGCAUCACAUUGUUAUUAUAGAUUUUUCGCUUAUUGAUGGGUGUGCGGCUGAUUAGAUAGUUGGCGGGGUAACGGCCCACCAAGUCUACGAUCAGUAGCUGAUGUGAGAGCAUGAUCAGCCACACGGGCACUGAGACACGGGCCCGACUCCUACGGGAGGCAGCAGUAAGGAAUAUUGGACAAUGGACGCAAGUCUGAUCCAGCCAUGCCGCGUGAAGGAUAAGGUCCUCUGGAUUGUAAACUUCUUUUAUAAGGGACGAAAAAAGGUCUUUCUAGAUCGUCUGACGGUACCUUAUGAAUAAGCACCGGCUAACUCCGUGCCAGCCGCCGCAGUAAAAC
rnacentral:rRNA from 1 species